AUGCUCUGGUCCCCAACAGUGUCUACAACUGCCAAGAGAAAGCCCCCACCAGCAUCACCUGCAGGGGGAUCCAUAAACAUGACAGGACCAAUGCAGACAGGAGGCCACAGCCUGGGUGACAGUGAGCAGUGGGGUGAAGUUUCAGUGCCUGCACUUUGGAGUGAAGCGAACCGGUAAGGCCAGAACGGCAACUUCACGAGCGCUCUCAAGACUGUCAAUAAGAUACUGCAGAUCAACAAAGAUGAUGUAACUGGCAUGCACUGUAAAGUGGUAUGCCUUAUCCAGACUGGAAGUUUCAGGGAAGCCCUGAAUGUCAUCAAUACUUGCACCAAACUGUUAGCCAAUAACUUUCUCUCCUUUGAAAAGGUGUAUUGCAAGUACAGGUGAAUUGAGAAUGCCUUGAAGACAACAGAAAGUGCCAACCAGCAGACAGACAAACUGAAGGAGCUUUAUGGACAAGUGUUAUACCGUUUGGAAUGCUAUGAUGAAUAUUUAGCAGCAUAAAUAGAUCUCGUCUGAAACUCCCACGAUGAUUAUGAUGAGGAGAGGAAAACAAACCCUUCAGCAUUUGCUGCAGCUCAAAGCAAUUAGGAAAAAGUGGCUCCAGAGAGCCUGGGCUUCCAAGAAGGCACACACGAGCUGUGCUACAACACUGCAUGCGCACUGAUCCACGGCCAGCUGAACCAGGCCAUGAAAAUCCUACAAAAAGCUGAAGGUCUUUGCCACCAUUCAUUAUCAGAAGACACUGAUGGGACUGAGGAAGACCCACAGGCAGGACUGGCCAUCAUUCAUGGUCAGAUGGCCUAUAUCCUGCAGCUUCAGGGUCGAACAGAGGAGGCUUUGCAACUUUACAAUCAAAUAAUAAAACUAAAACCAACCGACGUGGGGUGACUAACUGUAAUUGCAAAUAACAUCAUUACCAUUAACAAGGACCAAAAUGUCUUUGACUCCAAGAAGAAAGUGAAAUUAACCAACGCGGAAAGAGUAGAGUUUAAGUUUUCCAAGAAACAACUACAAGCUAUAGAAUUUAACAAAGCAUUACUUGCUAUGUACACAAACCAGGCCAAACAAUGUCUCAAAAUAUCCGCCUAUUUACAGUCCCACAGUCCCGAGCAUCUCUAACCUGUGUUAAUCCAAGCCGCCCAGCUCUGUGUGAAAAGCAGCCCACAAAAGCAAUAGAGUUGCUUCAGGAAUUUUCAGAUCAGCAUCAAGAAAAUGCAGUUGAAAUUAAGCUGACCAUGGCACAGUUGAAAAUUUCUCAGGAGAAUAUUUCUUAGCAUGUCUAAUAUUGAGAAGCAUAGAGGAGUUAAAGCAGAAACCAGGCAUGGUGUCUGCAUUAGCGACCAUGUAUAGCCACAAAGAAGAUAUUAAUAGUACCACUGAUGUCUUCACACAAGCUAUCCGGUGGUAUCAAAACCAUCAGCCCAAAUCUCCUGCUCAUUUGUCCUUGAUAAGAGAAGCUGCAAACUUCAAGCUCAAAUAUGGGCAGGAGGAGGAGGCAAUUAGUGACCUAGAACAGCUAUGGAAACAAAAUCCAAAAGAUAUUCACACCCUGGCACAGCUUAUUUCUGCUUACUCACUUGUAGAUCCAGAGAAAGGCAAAGCUCUUAGUAAACACUUGCCAUCAUCAGAUAGUAUGUCUCUAAAAGUAGAUGUUGAGGCUCUUGAAAAUUCUCCUGGUGCUACGUACAUUUGGAAGGGUGGAAAAGUUACUAGAGAUAGUCAACCAAAGGAACAAGGAAAGGGAGAUUUGAAAAAGAAAAAGAAGGGAAAAUUGCCUAAGAAUUAUGACCCAAAAGUUACCCCAGAUCCAGAAAGAUGGCUGCCAAUGCGAGAAUGUUCUUUCUAUCUGGGGAAGAAGGAAAGGUAAAAAGAAGGAUCAGAUUGGAAAAGGGACCCAGGGAGCAACUGCAGGAGCUUCAUCUGAACUGGAUGCCAGUAAAACUGUGAGCAGCCCACCCACCUCCCCAGGACCUGGCAGUACAGCAACACUAUCUGCCUCUACAAGUAACAUCAUACCCCCAAGACACCAGAAACCUGCAGGGGCUCCAGCAACAAAAAAGAAACAGCAGCCAGGCCACCCUCACCUUCCCACCCCUGAAGCGGUGUCGCCACAGGAAGAAGGAGACACCUUCCAGCUAAUUAUCCCAAGCGGGUCAAACUUUGGAAUCGGCGUCCUGCUCUGUGUUGUGGAGCGCAUGGCAAAGAGGAAGGGUUGGUGCUGGGAGCAGAAUCUCCGUGUUUUGCCAGAGGAAACAGCACAGACUCCAGACAGCAGAAGCGCCGGGAUUUCCAUGCAGCUGCCACGACAGGGAAAGCCGCCGGGAGCACAGAGGCGCUGGCACCACCGACCCGCGCAGCUCCCCGGGAAAACGGUCACCGGAGUGGCCGCGAUGGUGACAUCCCAGACAGAGGAUCUCUUAUUCAGUUGUCUAUGGAGAAAGGACCGGAUAGCGUCAUUUUAA